UUUCUAAGUCUUUUGAUUCUGCCAGCUUAUUUGUAUAGCAAAUUGAGACUUACGGGUGUCUUGCUUGAACAUGAAUUUGUUGCACAGCGUCUAAAGGGUCGAAUUCGUCCAUUCGUUUGGCAGAUCACUUCUGUGAGAACUAGAAGUUGAGAUAUUUGAAGUGGUGGCAGUCACGGCAGAGGGAAGUGUUCGUAUAGAAUGGUGCUCCGGGCAGUACGGAUUGGAAUGGAGAGUACUACUUUUCGAAUUUGUUUCUUUUGUAUGAAAAACGAGACUCAAAAACCCCAUAUUGCGAAGGCUGGCAACGUAUAAAUUAUGUUGGGUUGCAAAGUCCAGGAUGUACAAAUCGAUCGCCCCAAUUCUUUUACGAUGAAUACUGCCAAAUACGAACUCCGAGAUAUAAAUCGUUAAAACAGAUAGAAUUCCAUCUAAUAGAUUUCCAAUUGACCAUGGACAGAAGGCUUCUCUCAGUUUCUCGUUUAAUGUGUGAAUGAAUACAUCCCAAUCCUCAAGAUUCACAUAAGCUCGAAGAGGUACAGGAUAAUCGGUUGGAAAUUGAGGAUAUUUAUCUCCUGAAACCGAAUAAUCCCUUUCAAUGCGAACAAGCAUCGAAAAAACCUACUGAAAUGAAGCUUGGUGGAUUCCCUAGCUCUAGGUUCAAGUGUACAAUAUUAGAAGACGGAUUAGAGAAUAUGUAUAAUGAAACUGGGAUUCGGUAGAGCACAAGAAAAAAAAUAAAUAAACAGGAAAGUUAUAAGUUAAACAACGUUAAAAAUGACUAAAAAAUUAUAAAACACUCAUGAGUUCAUCGAUUGAUCAUAUAACCGGAACUAAACAAACAAACGUAUUAAAUGUCAGAAUUGAGUGAUUAAUUGAGUGAAUAGCUGUAAAAUGGGCAAUGAUAACUCAUUUUAAAAAAUCAUUAUGAUUAAUUGAGUGAGUUUCAGAUUUGAAACAAAAACCACACAGUUUGUCACUAGGUAAUUUGAACGGAUUUAUAGUGAAAAUUAAGAUUGAUAAAAGGAUGUGGUUUUAGUUGUUGAGGAAUUGAAAAUUAAUAAAACGUAUUGCUCGUUCAGGAAGAGGAUAAAAGCUCUCUACAGGAUAUAUUUCAUCUACGAUAAAAGUUACUUAGAAUGAACUGGAAAAACUACUUGGGAAAAUAAAUGUAAUAAAAUAUAAAAAAUAUUCGACUGUAUAUUAUAUGAGCAUUGACUCAUAUUACUUUAGUCGUUAGAUGAGAUAAAACUUUGACAACGAAUGCGGGCUUUUUUGAAGUCCUUGCUCAGUCCAAGAAGAGCGUCUUAAAUCAAGUUCAAUAAACUUUUUUAGCUGCAAGGGAAGUUAG